GUUAUGGCGGAAGAUGUGUUUUGGCACCCUGCUGUUUCGAAUCCCCUGGAUCAUGGAGGCAUGGUUUCCAGAAUCAGAGUAGAUCUCACAACCUGGCAGCAUUUUAGCAAGAGUGAAGAGGGUGGAAUCAUUGGCUACAAAGCAAGAUGAGAACAACAAGGCUGCAUCUUUUCCAUGAAGAUCAGCCAGUUCUUUCUCCAAGUCGACAUGAAAUUUGCUUGUUCCUGAGAUAUUCCUUGUGCCUCCUGCUCCAGCACCAUGUUGUUUCAGUGUAUCCAUAACCGCUCCGCACACACGAGGGUGACGACUCAUGCCCAGGUAAUCAUUGCUGCACCACACAGACACCUCUUUCUUGGUGAUCAGGGAAUCAGAGUAGUCAUCUGCCAUGGGAAAGAUCUGCGCCUUUCGGUUCACCGUUUUGAACACUCGGUAGGUAUGAUCUUUCUUCUUUUCAUCUAUCUUUUUCUCAAAGAACUGGUCAUACUGGAAGGUGGAUACAGAUUUUGGCAAGUUAUCCUGAAGCAGAUGAGACACACUUUCGGGUCUUUGCUUCAGCAUAAUAUCCUUAAACUUCUUGAGCAAGCCACUCUGCUCUUCUCCCUCAGCCUCAGUGUUCCUCACCACGGAAUUAGUUGGUAUUUUGGCAAAUUCUUUACCUUUCCUGUCCACCUGCAUUUCCUUCACAUCCUCCUGCAGUUCCAAGCUGGCUUUGCAGAACACAUUGCUGCUCUUAUGGUUCAUCUGAGCUGCCAGGAAUGGGCAUUUUGUAGCAGAGCUCUGGACAGCAGCAGCAGGUGGGUGGCCAGCAGGAGGCUGUGACCCAUCUGUGUUCUGCUGGGCCACUUCUUUGGCUUUCUUGGCCUCCGGCUGGGCCGCAGGGGUCUCCUCUACCUGCUGCCCGCGGGCGGCGGAUGUGGCGAGGCCUCGGGCGGCGGCCGGCGGCGCCGCCUCCAUCAUUUUGGGACAGUGCUGGGCAUAAAAGAGCAGGGAAGGCCCGGCCUUCUGCAGGAAGGCCUGCGAGACGCGGGCCAGGAACGGGCAGCGCCGCACCACCGCCUCCAUCCUUCCUCCUGCCGCAGCUACCGCCGACCGGAAGUGACGUCACGCAGCUGUCACCCCC
rnacentral:lncRNA from 1 species